rnacentral:rRNA from 1 species
UACGUAGGGUGCGAGCGUUAAUCGGAAUUACUGGGCGUAAAGCGUGCGCAGGCGGUCUGUUAAGACCGAUGUGAAAUCCCCGGGCUUAACCUGGGAACUGCAUUGGUGACUGGCAGGCUUUGAGUGUGGCAGAGGGAGGUAGAAUUCCACGUGUAGCAGUGAAAUGCGUAGAGAUGUGGAGGAAUACCGAUGGCGAAGGCAGACUCCUGGGCCAACACUGACGCUCAUGCACGAAAGCGUGGGGAGCAAACAGG